AAUAUGUAGGGAGUGGGCUGGUAUGCUUCUGGAAGCACGGCUUCCAAGUUGUUUUCGAUGUUUCGACUUUCGAAUCGACAAUCGGCUCCGUUAGAGUUGAUUUAGAGUAUUUAAAAUAUCUAGAAAAUAAAUUUUAUGAUUUUUCGAUAUUAUUUGACUAGUGAUCGAAGGGGCUCAAAAUCAAUAAUUUUAAUGGCCGUAGUGAGCCGGUUGCAAGUUUAACGGUAUAGAAAUAUCCAAAUCGGGCGAAAUUUUGAUAGAAAAUUCUUCAUACUAUUUACUACAAGAUCAAUAUCUUUGAUUGAAAAUUUUUUAUACUAAAAAAUAAGAUCAAUAUUCUUUGAUCUAAAAUUUUAAUGUCAUAUCAUCAUAUUUUGUAAGAUUUUUAUUUUCAGCCGUUGAUUUUGAGCCCCUUCGAUCACUAGGCAAAUAAUAUCGAAAAAUCACGAAAUUUAUUUUCUAGAUACUUCAAAUACUCUAGAUGAAGUCUAACGGAGCCGAUCGUCGAUUCGAAAGUCCCAACAUUGAAAAUAACUUAGAAGCACGGAGUGCUCCGUGCUUCCAAGAGCACCCCAGAC
rnacentral:lncRNA from 1 species